rnacentral:misc_RNA from 1 species
GUGAAUCAUCGAAUCUUUGAACGCAAAUUGCACUCUCCUCGGAGAGUAUGCCUGUUUGAGUGUCAGCCUCUAAAAAUCGACAUCGUUUCUGUCUCGCGGUGGCGUUCGUCGGCUAUUGUGUCAUCUUACAUCCUUUUGGUUUUUAAGCGACUUAAAAUUUUCUUUUUGGUUCCAUGAACGUUUCUAAGCUUUAUUUCUUUACACGUUUAAGGUAUCGAUUUUUAUUAUACGUGACCAUCAUAUCGUAUCGCGUCCAUAAUCUUUCAUUAACUGACCUCCGACAGGUAAGAGUACCCGCUGA